rnacentral:lncRNA from 1 species
GAAAGAGUAGAUGCCCUAUAAGCCAAUCAUUUGAUGGGUUUUUCUUUGUAAUCCUCCAAAUCAUGUACUUUGACACUCGAUAUAUAUCAAUAAAGGCAUUGUGUUUCAUCAUUUGCUGCUUAUCUAUUUUAUUAUUGGAUGAUGAACCCCAUAAAUUAGGACAUUGGUUUUAAGUGUUAUGAUGAGAUCAUACCAGUGAGACCUAAAAUCCUAAAAUCCUAAUUUAGAAUAUUUCCAGUCAAAUUGGUAUAUUGAGUCGGGGAUCAAUAUUACCGGAAAGACUGGCACAUCUUAUGUAUGCUCAAUGAAGAGGGUGAUUGAUCUCACAAUCACUUGUGUGAGACACUAAUACAAAGAUGUGGGUGCUCAUUAGAGGAAUGAGUUCACUGAAAUGACCAACCAUGAGAACAUCUUAUGGAUUCUUACUUAAUUAUCAAAAGAUGGUUCUCAUAGUGGGAGUUGUGCAAGUGAUCCUUAGACCUGAGAUCACCAUGGUACUUUGUGCACUUGAAGCUAUGUUUUGGUUUACCCUCAUUCACGACAUUGCGUUGUGUACGGAAUAUUCUGGAUAUGGUGGAUUUUGUACGAAGGUUGUGAGUCAACAAGGAAUCAAUCACUUCUAGUAAGAGAAGGUAACAUUCUACUUACGCUAAUCUUAUGAUGAUUCACGAAGCCUUUGAUCAAAGCAAAAUGAAUAUUAGAAAGAGUUUCUAAUGUUUCAUUGUUUGAAUUAUCAUAUAAAAGAUUGAGAGAGACAUGAAUAAGUGAUUGAGUUUGAUAUUGAUCCAUACUCGAGCACUUAUUCAGGAUGUAGUAUGACUGAGGGAUUGAAUUGCACAGUAACUUUCCACUGAAGGGUAUGUUUGGAUUUGUCCAAUACAUUCCUCAUCUUCCGGAUAGACAUGAUACAUUGCUAGACGUCAAUCAUGUCUUGUGGGUUGAUCGGAUCAAAGAGUU